UACGGAGGGUGCAAGCGUUAUCCGGAUUCACUGGGUUUAAAGGGUGCGUAGGCGGGCAGGUAAGUCAGUGGUGAAAUCUUCGAGCUUAACUCGGAAACUGCCUUUGGUACUAUCUGUCUUGAAUAUGGUGGAGGUAAGCGGAAUAUGUCAUGUAGCGGUGAAAUGCUUAGAGAUGACAUAGAACACCUAUUGCGAAGGCAGCUUACUACGCCUAUAUUGACGCUGAGGCACGAAAGCGUGGGGAUCAAACAGG
rnacentral:rRNA from 1 species